rnacentral:snRNA from 1 species
CAAAGUGUAGUAUCUGUUCUUAUCAGCUUAAUAUCUGAUACGUCUUCCAUUGGAAGACAUCGAUAUUAAACUGAUUUUUGGAACUAGGUGAGAGACUUGGGGCUUGCUCCAUCCUCGCCACGGGUUGAC